rnacentral:lncRNA from 1 species
CGGGGCGCCCGCAACUUAGAAGCCCGGGAUUGUGUCCCGGAAGGAAGCCUGGACUUGCCAGGCCGCGGGAGGCUCCGCACUACAGGAAGGGAGCCCCCACUCCCAGCCCGUUCGGGGGCUUCUCUGAGGAGCCUGGGGCCACCGGGCCCUUUCUUUUUACAGGGUCGCACACGCUGUGAUAUAUUUUAGCUGCAUCACAACCCUUUUAAUACCCCAGCAUGACACUGACUGCGUUAGUAAGGACCUCAUUUGGUUGGUGACCGCCAAGCGCACAUUUGAGACGCUUCCACGGCUCUGAGGCACAGGCUGCUUCUGCUCUGGCCCGGGAGAGGGCAGAAGCGGUGGUGGAGAGCGACCGCCGCCCAGUGCGGGUUAGUCUGGGCAGGAGGGGGUGGCAGCCCUUUGGUCAGUGUCCUUUGCUCAACCCCAUUUGUGAAAGGCCUCUCGCAUCCCGAGUCGAAUCCCCGCCCGUUCCUGGCUCCGCCGUCGGGGCUUUUCUCGGGAAGAACGCGGCGCGCAGCGCCAAGUCAGCCGGGACAGCUCCAGGAGCCCGGGUCCACCGCCCGUAGCCCCAGGCCGCACCAGCCUCCUUCCUCCGCGACCCGCGCGCUCGCCUUCCCUCCCCCAUUUAUAUUCUCCGAUAAUUUCGGAGGAAAAGAAUUACAUCUUUUGGGCGAAUUUGUUUCAUCUCUCCUAAAUUCAGAAACGGAGCCUUCAAAAGUCUUAAUGUGUGUGUUUAUUUUUUCCUAGCAUUCAAAUGAAUGCGAAGCCACGGAUCGAAUCCCGUCACUCAUUUGGGGUUAGCUUCUCCCGAUAUUUCACACGGAAAACAAAACUGGGUCCCUCUUAUUUGUACUUGUCCUUAACCUUUGCAGCAACUGCUGUAGAUACGGCUCUGUCCAUUCUCUAAUAGAUUUUACCAGGGGCUGGUGACAGAGAACUGAUUUCUUUUCUAUUAGGGUUUAGCACAUCUUUGUUGAAGGCCUGUAGAAUGACCAGGGAUUAGAUUUGCAUCUCUUAGACGCCCUGUGUGGUCUUUGUGCGAAGCUUGUAACUGUUAAAAAUGACUUGUUAGGAAGCGUGUGGGCUCUCAUCGCUCUCCUUUUGACAGAAUGAUUGUGAAAUUCAGAUUGGCCCUGUAGGAUUUAGCCCGCAGAUUCCACCUGAACCCUAAGCAAUUAGACCCUAAUCUCACUGCAAUCAUAUUUGAGUUAGGAUUUGUUGCACUUUGUUUACUUCAAUUAAAAGCAGUGGAAUAAUUUUUCUCAGCUUUUAAAAUGAAAUCUCCAGGCAUAAAACCUCAGGACUUCUUAGAAGCGGUUUUGGUAGUGAUGAGGAUUUCUUUUCUUGUGUGGUUUCCUCUUAGUCCUCAAGCCUGUCCCCUCCCCCAUUUAAAUAACUCGUCUUUCUCCCCCGGUUGCUCGCUAAUGCCCCAAGCAUCUUCGCAAAGGUUGAAUUCGGGUCGCCAGGGACUAGCCGCAUGGAGAUGACUCCCAGCUGCGAGGGUCGCCCACGCUCUGGGAGCACCCCUCCAAGUUCUCCACAGGGUGCCCACGCCCGCUCCCUCGCAGAGUUUUCCCACCCGUUGCGCCCGCCGGCUCCAGGCUGUGGUCGCCGGUCCCGAGUCUGCCUUCCCGCUGCGGAGUAGGUGCUUCUAAGGCUCCCGGCAUCAGCCCGGUGGCACUGAGAUUGCAGAGUCGGUGUGGUCAGCCUGACCUCCGCAUGCGUCCCGGGAGGCUCUCGCCAAGCUAGCGGAGCUGCCCUCAGGGAUCCACUGUGGUCUCAACUUGGAAUUCGUUUCCGUCCUGCAGCUCUGCUGCGCAGAGUCCACACCUAGAGGUGGACGGAGAGUGGUCUCUUCCCCUGGGCUGGCACUGGAGGAUACCCAGCCCCAGGCUUCGGGGCGCCGGUGAUCCUUCAGGCCCGGGGCCUGCUCCAGAAGCCCAAAGCCCAAAGCUCAGGCCUCUCAGAGUGGCCUCUUGUCACGCUGAGGAGAACCAGUCGCCCAAGUCUUCAGGAUCUCGGCCGUUUAACCCCUACGCAGUUCUUAAGGGUUGCUUGCAGUUACUGUCAAGCCAGGUCGCCUUCGGGGUAUUUCUUGAUCAGUGGCGAGUUUAUCGCCUUCAUUUGUUUAUCUGGUGUGACUUUGUCACUUUUAUUUACUCAAAGCAUCUCUUUAUUUGGAAGACAUGACAAUGACUUUGAGUUAUUGUUUCUUCCAUUUCUUCCAUGUUUAUUUGCUCCCAGUGAAUUCGAUUCGGUUUCCUGGAUUACUGGUUUACGUUUCUCAAUUAAUACUAAAGGGCCAGCCAAU